rnacentral:rRNA from 1 species
GUUGCAGUUAAAAAGCUCGUAGUUGGAUUUCUGUGGGGGCGGAGCGGCCGGCCGCAACUUGCGGUUCGAGCUAGCGCUUCCCCUACAUCCUGCCGCGAACCGUGCUACCAUUAGUUUGGUGGCGCCGGGGAUCGGCUCGUUUACUUUGAGAAAAAUAGAGUGUUCAAAGCAGGCCACACGCCUUGAAUAAGUUAGCAUGGAAUAAUAAUAAAGGACUUCGGUUCUAUUUUGUUGGUGUUCGGGACUGAAGUAAUGAUUGAUAGGGACAGUUGGGGCGGUCAGUAUUCCAAAGCGAGAGGUGAAAUUCUUAGACCUUCGGAAGACUAACAGCUGCGAAAGCGUUCCGCAAGGAUGUUCCCUUUGAUCAAGAACGAAAGUUGGGGGAUCGAAGACGAUCAGAUACCGUCGUAGUCUCAACUAUAAACUAUACCAGCUAGGGAUCGGUCAACGUUAAAUUAUUCGACUUGAUCCGGCACCUUAUGAGAAAUCCAAAGCAUCUGGG